ACGGAAGAAAGGAACACAGGGAUUGCCUCAGUAACGGCGAGUGAAGCGGCAAAAGCUCAAAUUUGAAAUCUAACACUUCUGGUGUUCGAGUUGUACUUUGGAGAGGCAUCUUCUGGAGGGGCCCAGCCUAUGUGCCUUGGAACAGGACGUCAUAGAGGGUGAGAAUCCCGUCCUUGGCUGGAUGUUCCCUCCUGUAUGUAGUGUCUUCUACGAGUCGAGUUGUUUGGGAAUGCAGCUCAAAAUGGGUGGUAAAUUUCAUCUAAAGCUAAAUACUUGCGAGAGACCGAUAGCGCACAAGUAGAGUGAUCGAAAGAUGAAAAGCACUUUGAAAAUAGAGUCAAACAGUACGUGAAAUUGUUGAAAGGGAAGCGCUUGAGACCAGAGUCAGCCUUUGGCAAACAACUGUCCCUUCUGGGUGGUGCACUUGUCAUUGGUUGGGCCAGCAUCGGUUGGGACAGCAGGAUAAAGGCCCAGGGAAUGUGACUCCCUUGUGGAGUGUUAUAGCCCCAGGCGGCAUGCUGUCAGCCCCGACCGUGGACCGCGCCUCGGCACGGAUGUUGGCUUAAUGGUCUUCAGCGACCCGUCUUGAAACACGGACCAAGGAGUCUAACGUCUAUGCAAGUGUUUGGGCUUCAAACCCUUACGCGUAAUGAAAGUAAACGGAGGUGGGAACCCCGCAAGGAGUGCACCAUCGACCGAUCCUGAUGUCUUCGGAUGGAUUUGAGUAGGAGCAUAGUUGUUGGGACCCGAAAGAUGGUGAACUAUGCCUGAAUAGGGUGAAGCCAGAGGAAACUCUGGUGGAGGCUCGCAGCGGUUCUGACGUGCAAAUCGAUCGUCAAAUUUGGGUAUAGGGGCGAAAGACUAAUCGACCCAUCCAGUGGC
rnacentral:rRNA from 1 species